rnacentral:lncRNA from 1 species
UUUAGUUUAGUUUUUUAAGACAGGGUCUCGCUCUGUCACCCAGGCUGGAGUGCAAUGGCAUGAUCAUGGCUCACUGCAACCUUGACGUCCCAGGCUCAAGCGAUUCUCUCACUUUUGUCUCCCAAGUAGCUGGAACUACAGGCAUGCACCACCAUGCCUGGCUAAUUUAAACAUUUUUUGUAGAGAAGGGGUUUACCAGUGUGGCCCAUGCUGGUCUUGAACUCCUGGGCUCAAGCGAUCCUCCUGCUUUGGCCUCCCAAAUUGUUGGGAUUAUAGGCGUGAGCCACUGCACCUGGUCCCCCAGAAUCUAAAGGAUGGUGCAGGUUCUGUUUUUAAAUGUACCUGUUGAGUAUGUAUUAGCUCAAACAGAGUUUACCUGAGAUGUGCAUCUGGGGUCCACCCUCUUUGGCACUGUCCCUCAUUUUCCUCCUCCAACAUUCUCCCAAUCUCUCUCUGUUAACCCCAACAACCUGCCACCCCUCCCUAACAAAGGAUUCCCAGCUCAAGGCCAAUUGGAUCGAGUUUUUCUUCUGCAGAAAUUGUGGGGAGGUGGCUUCAGAGGCUCACAAGCAGAACCCCACCCAGACACAUAAACCUUUCUUUGGCUGGUACCAACUCCUCUAUUGCAGGGUAUGGUCCAAGUAGGUUAUACAAGUCUCUACCUCUUCUAGCUGAAGCCAACCUCCCAGGAAAAGGAUGAGAGGAGAAAGCCAUCCUGCCUGGUGUGUGGAUAAUACCACCACCAGAGUCUCCUGUAAUUUUGAUUCGAUGGCAUGCAGCUGCGUGACCUAAGGCACGUAUCUCCAUUCACAGGGUGUGGUCAGUACUCUGUGAAUAUCAGGUGUUCUGUCUGCCCUGUCUCCUGUCUUCCUGGAGCCUGCCCUUACCCAGUGAGUCCCUGGAGAGAACAUUCUGGCAUCUGGCUGUGAGCUGUCACAGACAUGGGUUUCUUUCGGUUCCCAGAAUGAUGGGAUGCCAGCCGCUGGCUGCCCCCAAGAAGCUUGGGAGCAGGACAGGCUUGGCUGUCUCAGAGGAAGAGCCUGGCAUUGGGCCAGGAGGCUCAGGAGGGAAGAUGAGCUCAUUCUGCCCAGCUCGGUUCUCUCGUAUGCAGACCAGGUCAUCACAGGGACCUGCCUCCACAUUUGCAUCCCCCACGGCAUAUUUUCCCAGCACGUGCAGCAUUGGGAACUUGAACGUCCCUCUGCUUUUCCUUGGUGAGACCCACCAGCCCCGCAUUAGGAAGGAGGCUGAACAUUUGACGGAGCUUUCCUGUCACCUGUGAGUGACGUGCACGCUGCUUCCGAAGAAAGAGACAUCCCCCUACUGUCUUCUCACAGUGGGAUGAUUCAACUUUUUCUUUCUCACAAUCCCAGAUAAUCAUAUCUUCCCAGGUUUUGUCAUCUUCGAGGACUACUCACUAUCUAGUUAUGAGUCAAACAAAACCCAAUUUAACUGAUAACUAACCAGCCAUCACGUAUCCCUGAAGAUAAACCUGGUUUAUCCUUUUUAUACCCUCUGGCAGAGCAAAGGAACAAGGAGUUUGGGGGAAAAAAAACAAACAAACCACUAGAAACAGCACUGACACAUGUCGUUAAAUACAGAUGUGACCAGCCUUGAUUACAAGUGUUGUCAUCCUCUUUGAACAGGGACCUACCCCGAACUUUCAUGAACCCCUGGUAGCUGAAUAGCAGCUUGUCUAAGCGAGGUGCAGGGAUUUUGUCAAAGUCGGCCUCGGUGUAAAAGGCAGGGCCACCUACCAUGAACUUCUCUCUGUGACUUUAUUCUUUAGCAGUGCUCAAGUGUAAAUAAACUUGUUUACCAGGAUCAGAAUGGCCAUGUUAAUGAAGUCUUAUUUGUGUCACCACAAUGACAAGUAAUUUGUGCACAGUUGGACUCGGAGAGUGGACAAAACCAGAGAAAUUGUAUUUCUGUUCUGAAGUUUCCAUACAGAUGCCUUAGGCCAAAGUUGGUACAGCCAAUAUUUGCCUGUUUCUUUGGAUUGUGUGUCUAUGCUGGAGAAAAGCCUUGUUACCGUGCCCAGUGUGGUAAACGAAAUUAUAUGUACGCAGUGAGAAGAAAAAUGAAAUAAGAAGCACUGAUGAAUGUAUGCAUGGGUGUAACCUUGGUGGCCAGUGUGUGGUUUUUAUGAAAUGGAUGCAUGAAUACGAGGACCCUAAUUAUUGCUUUCAACGGACAAAGUAUGGUGAAUAUAUAGAGAACGUUGCUGUACAACACUGGCUGUGUCUCAAAGCAGCUUUAGAAGUAAAUAUAGAAAUUCUUUGGUACAUGGUAUUGCAUAGAAAAGUCAUUAAGAAAAAAGCAAGACAAUUUGUUAAGACCUUGUUAAGUGGAGCUGGGGGAUGAUUAAUUUUGUUUGUUUGUUUUUGUUGUUCCCUGGUAGAGCUCAACAAACUACCGACCAUGGGCCAAAUCUGACCCACCGCUGCUUUUGUAAAUAAAACUUUAUUGGAAAAAAGCC